rnacentral:rRNA from 1 species
UACGUAGGGGGCUAGCGUUGUCCGGAAUCAUUGGGCGUAAAGAGCUCGUAGGCGGUGUGUCACGUCGGCCGUGAAAACCUGCAGCUUAACUGUGGGCGUGCGGUCGAUACGGGCAUCACUGGAGUUCGGCAGGGGAGACUGGAAUUCCUGGUGUAGCGGUGAAAUGCGCAGAUAUCAGGAGGAACACCGGUGGCGAAGGCGGGUCUCUGGGCCGAUACUGACGCUGAGGAGCGAAAGCGUGGGGAGCAAACAGG